ensembl:lncRNA
GAAUAAGUCAAUUUUUAAUUACGUUUCUGGGUCACACUUUCAUUUGUAUCAAUCUCAUUAUUCUACAGUCCACACAGUUAGACAAAAUAUUUUAGAGCACUUUUCCAAAAUAGCAAAAUUUUUGCACCAAAAGAAAAAAAUGCUAGUUACAACCAGUGUGUAACAUCCAAGGACUGAAAGACCUUCUUGUUUAAGCAGCAGGUACCCGAGGACAGAGGUUAGGCAGCAGCAGAAUCACAAUGCUGGACACAAUUUUACUUGUGUGUGUUAAGUGCCCUUGGGUUUGAAAUGUAGCAAUGAAGUAAUGAGGCUGACGCUAUACAGCAAAAAUGGACACUGAUCUCAUCAUUUCAUAGCUAUACCUUGUGGUAUGUUUACAAAUUAUUUCUUUCACAAGUUAAAACAUUACCUGCUACAAUGGGCUUAAUUUUGGUAAAAUCAACUGAAAAAGGUUCUAUGUUAAUGCAACAUUUGUUGUAAAGAUUCAUUAGUCAAAAUUUCAAAUGAUAAUUCCCACAGUGAGUGUAACUCUGCUCUAUAACAUACAUAAUGGAAGAAAUGCUAACAAUGUAUACCACCGGAGAAAAUACUCAGUAAGCAGAAACAACCUGAGUUACGCUUGUUAUGGGAGUCAUCCCUUUUGACUAGCUGAGAAUACAUAAGAAUUGAAACCAUACAUGCAUGCAUUAUUUUUUCACUUAAUUCUAAUUUUUCUGAUCCGAUUCAAUCAGUGUUAUAUCUAAAAUCCACUUUUCCUUUCACAAACUGCAAAUCUAUUGUCUUUUGUAAUUUUGAAAUCCACAUCAUUUAGUUUCUUUCUCUCACCCAGGCUGCCUUUGCAGCAUGGCAUCAUUAUACCCUGGCCCUUCCUGCGAUGUCAGAAAUGUCUGCUGGGAUCCACUUAUCUCCAUCCCUUUUCUCCCUGAAGGACACUAGGGGGGAGGAGAACACGAGCGCCCACGAGAACAAGACUCACACUGAGUCAUUUAAAAAGGUAAGCUAGUGCAACAGGAGAGGAACACUGUCACCAUUAACUCCCCCCUUGGAAUUUUCCUAGGCAGAAAAGAGAACAAUGUCACCAUAUAUUUACAAUUUCCAAAAUGUUUAGUUAUAACAUUAUCUCAUCUCAUUCUCAUCACACUACCGUAAGAAAAAACACACAAAAAAUACUUUUCAUUGUUCAACUCCUUGUGACUUAAGUAGAAUAUAUUUAACAAUGUGCUUUUAUAUUAUCAUCAAAAGUCUGGGCCAUUUAAUUAUACUUAAAGAUUUUCUAAAUAUACUCAUUUAUACAUGCAGAAG